ensembl:lncRNA
CUGCUAUUAAAAUUUCUCAAAUUUUGCCUGAAGAACUUGCUGAAGUCUCCCGUCUUCAGCACUGUGUUCUUAGAUAUCUGGAAAUCAGAGCAAAGAGUUGGCAGAAGUCUUUGCUAUAACAGCAGAUAAUACUGUAAAGGAUAAAAUAAAAGGCCAAGAAGAGGAAAGAAUGAAAACUAUGAAAAUACAAGACCACAAGGAUGUUGGAUGUUCAAGGUUUUCUGAAGCAGUGUUGUAUUUCUUAACUGUAAUGAAAAAAUCCUGAAGUGCAAUUCCUCCCUUUUUUCCUCUAAAACAAACCAGAAGAGACAACGACAAUAUAUCUCUGUGAUACAGACACUUGAUCACUUUGUCCUGGAAAGAUCCCGCCAACUCAUUUAAGAUAUGUAAUGAGUGACUUCAUUUAGGUUCAUGGUUAUUACUAAGGUAGGAGAGUUAAACAUGAACCAAGCAAAUAAAAUUUCU